UGCUUCUUGGACUCCCCUUCUGUGCUUGGCUCUACCCAGCUGAGCUUCUGGAGCCACAGCCAUGGAUUUUUCUCUCAGCAGAACCAGCAGCUAAAACCCAGCCUCCCCAGGGCAGACAACGUAGGGGUUAGUCAACAAAAGAAAACCAGCAAGCUUUCUGUUACCAAACAAGACUUUCACAGACUCCUAAGGUCAUUCUGGCAGAACUUGUAUUUCAACACCCGACAUGGCACACACAGUUGCUGUGCUAGAAGAGUCCAUAGGAAGCAUGUGCUAGCCAGCUCGUCAGCAGUAGUCACUCACAGACACUGAGCUCUCCGCACUUUGACCCCACAGGCUGCCAGGCUUCAGCAGGACACAACAGCAAGCCCUUGAAAACUCCAUAGCUGUUCGUGUCUGAAGCUGCCGCCAACCCUUCCAAGCACAAUCUCAAUAUGCUCGGCAACACGGUGGAGGCGAGGUCAAAAAGAAAAAAAAAAGCAUUUCAGAAACCUCCAAAAACAGUCAUUGGGGAAGAUCAAGGCAGAGCUCAUAAAGUCUGAUAGAAGGUUCUAGAAG
rnacentral:lncRNA from 1 species